CUCACCUGCACUUGCAUUUAUGAAGUAGCAUCUGCACUAACUACUAACUAAAUCAGAAUUGGUAAUUAGAUGAGACCUUGCUCAUAGUUUCUCCCUCUAUAGGAUAAAAGAACUGGCCAAUCUAGCAUUGAGAUCAAGUAAACAAUUUGUUGUUUGAGUAGAAAAACAAUCUGCCAAUAUGUGACGAGUUCAAUGAAUUUGCCAAGUUGUAUAACGUUUCAUUUAUUUUUUUCUUAAUCUCUGUUCCAGUCUAUCAAUUCACUGCAAGGAGCAUAGAGCUUUGCCACUUGCUCCUCAGUUUCAAUGUCGUUAACCACACCACGACAUCGUGGGAAGCCACAAUAGCAUGCAAGUUGUUCAUCAAUCGAGAAAAACCUAUAAUCAUAUGUGAGUUCUUCCCAUCUUUUGAUAUCUCUCUUUGCAAAUAUAAUUAUAUGUUCA
rnacentral:misc_RNA from 1 species